rnacentral:tmRNA from 1 species
GGGGGCGUUCUGGAUUCGACGGGGAUUGUUCGGGCAUGAUCGGCGGGCCGUGGGGCUGCGCCCACGUAAAAAACGCGAACUUAAAUACAAACGCAAAAACACAACGUAACAACUUCAGAAGCAGUAACCUCGCUUUAGCUGCCUAAUAAGCAGUAAGCGACGUCUUUACGCCUUUCUCCCAUGAUUGCGUAAAGGCGCUACCUUAGUGGGAUAGCUGGAGCAGGUGCCUGUGGGCUCUUAGCGAACUACAUUGCAGGCUAGCCACCUGAUGAGCGCGUCGUUGCGCGCAUCAAGCGGCGAACCUUAAAUCAGCGACUACGCCCGUAGAUGUGAUUGUAGCGAGGUCUUCGGACAGGGGUUCGAUUCCCCUCGCCUCCACCA